UAGUUAUUGACCUUUAUAGACGUAUAAAAAUGGGUUUUUAGUUAGGUUUAGAGCCAAACAGACCUUAAGUCUGUUUAGCUAUAUAAAGGGUUGAGAAGGGUCGAUUAUUGCCCUUUGUAAAACUGAUAUAUUUAUAGGAAACAGAGGAGGAAAGAAAAGCAAGAAAAGAGAAGAGAAGAGGGAGUGCAACUGCUACCUCUCUGUUGAUACUGAGGUUGUUGUUAUUACCAUGCAUGUAUUCUUGCAUGCUAUCUACAGCAGGAAGAGACUACCAAAGAUGUUGCUACUACAAGAAGUUGGAAUCCGAGCUGCCCAAUUGUUAGUGGAGUCACCUGCACACCUCUAUAACACAGGAGAUAUGGCGGAACCUGAACUAAAGUGGAUCGAGAGACUCAGCAAGGGUUGUGAGGCUGUGUUUGCGUGACAUCAUAUGGAAGACUGAGAUAUCUUUUUCUUUUAAGAUUCUAUUAUUAUGCUUGUAAGGUAUAUCUUAUUAUGGUAAUUGUGUGUUGUGAACAAAUUGAGUCUGUAAUUAUUAUUUAUCAUUUAGAUUUGAUCAUCAUGGGUUAUGCAAAUUAUGAAUUUCCCUUA